rnacentral:rRNA from 1 species
CCUACGGGUGGCAGCAGUGAGGAAUAUUGGUCAAUGGUCGGGAGACUGAACCAGCCAAGCCGCGUGAGGGAUGAAGGUACAGAGUAUCGUAAACCUCUUUUGUCAGGGAACAAAGGCGGGAACGUGUCCACGGAUGAGUGUACAUGAAGAAAAAGCAUCGGCUAACUCCGUGCCAGCAGCCGCGGUAAUACGGAGGAUGCGAGCGUUAUCCGGAUUUAUUGGGUUUAAAGGGUGCGCAGGCGGUGUGGUAAGUAAGCGGUAAAAGGCCGGGGAUUAACCCCGGGCCCGCCGUUAAAACUGGCAGUCUCGAGUUGGAGAGAAGUAUGCGGAAUGCGCGGUGUAGCGGUGAAAUGCAUAGAUAUCGCGCAGAACUCCGAUUGCGAAGGCAGCAUGCCGGCUCCACACUGACGCUGAGGCAUGAAAGCGUGGGUAUCGAACAGGAUUAGAUACCCUUGUAGUC